GACUCUUUAGCUCAGUGGUUAGAGCAUGCGAUUGCAGAUCGCAGGGUCUCGUGUUCAAAUCACGAAAGGGUCU
rfam:Peniophora sp. CONT PENSPscaffold_60_Cont107, whole genome shotgun sequence.